AGGCUACUUGCAGAACAGAAAGGAAGCUGCAGCUGUUUUGAAGCUGUGGAGCUUUUCUGGAUAAAGUUCAGGGACAACCUCAUGACUAAAAGAAAAGGAUAUCUGGACACAAAAAUGUACAAAGGAAAGUCAGCGUGAGGACACAGAGGGAAGACAGCCAUCUACAAGCCAAGAAGAGAGGCCUGAAAAAGAUACUUCUCUCAAGGCCCUCAGAAGGAACCCAGCCCUGCUGAAACCUUGAUCUUGGACUUCAGCCUCCAAAACUAGCUGCUGUGGAUGUGCCUUUCCAAGUUGUGCGUGCCCUGAUGAAAAGGAAGACAUCUAUGAUUUUGUACUUUGUGCUGCAGCAUCUGGUGAAGAUGUUCCUGUGUAGUGCAUGUCUAAAGGAAUUUUGGAAAAAAAAACGAAUUAUGCAGAAUAGAACAUUUUUAUUAU